rnacentral:rRNA from 1 species
UGGGGAAUCUUCCGCAAUGGACGAAAGUCUGACGGAGCAACGCCGCGUGAGUGAUGACGGUCUUCGGAUUGUAAAGCUCUGUUAAUCGGGACGAAUGGUUUGUGUGCAAAUAGUGCAUAGACAUGACGGUACCGAAAAAGCAAGCCAUGGCUAACUACGUGCCAGCAGCCGCGGUAAUACGUAGGUGGCAAGCGUUGUCCGGAAUUAUUGGGCGUAAAGCGCGCGCAGGCGGCUACUUAAGUCCAUCUUAAAAGUGCGGGGCUUAACCCCGUGAUGGGAUGGAAACUGAGAAGCUGGAGUGUCGGAGAGGAAAGUGGAAUUCCUAGUGUAGCGGUGAAAUGCGUAGAGAUUAGGAAGAACACCGGUGGCGAAGGCGACUUUCUGGACGACAACUGACGCUUAGGCGCGAAAGCGUGGGGAGCAAACAGG